GCCCGGGUAGCUCAGUGGAAGAGCAGAAGCCUUCUAAGCUUAAGGUCGUGGGUUCGAUUCCCCCCCCGGGUACCA
rnacentral:tRNA from 1 species